GUAGGUGGCAAGCGUUGUCCGGAAUUAUUGGGCGUAAAGCGCGCGCAGGCGGUUCUUUAAGUCUGAUGUGAAAGCCCACGGCUCAACCGUGGAGGGUCAUUGGAAACUGGAGAACUUGAGUACAGAAGAGGAAAGCGGAAUUCCACGUGUAGCGGUGAAGUGCGUAGAGAUGUGGAGGAACACCAGUGGCGAAGGCGGCUUUCUGGUCUGUAACUGACGCUGAGGCGCGAAAGCGUGGGGAGCAAACAGGGAUUAGAUACCCUGGUAGUCCACGCCGUAAACGAUGAGUGCUAAGUGUUAGGGGGUUUCCCGCCCCUUAGUGCUGCAGCUAACGCAUUAAGCACUCCGCCUGGGGAGUACGGCCGCAAGGCUG
rnacentral:rRNA from 1 species